rnacentral:rRNA from 1 species
CAUCGAUGAAGAACGCAGCGAAAUGCGAUAAGUAAUGUGAAUUGCAGAAUUCAGUGAAUCAUCGAAUCUUUGAACGCACAUUGCGCCCCCUGGUAUUCCGGGGGGCAUGCCUGUCCGAGCGUCAUUACAACCCUCAAGCUCAGCUUGGUAUUGGGCCCCGCCGACCCGGCGGGCCCUAAAGUCAGUGGCGGUGCCGUCCGGCUCCGAGCGUAGUAAUUCUUCUCGCUCCGGAGGUCCGGUCGUGUGCUUGCCAGCAACCCCCAAUUUUUUCAGGUUGACCUCGGAUCAGGUAGGGAUACCCGCUGAACUUAAGCAUAUCAAUAAGGCGGAGGAA